AUGGCCCCGCCCUUCGUGUUCCCCUCGAGCCUGCGGGAUCUGGAGCGCGACGACGACGGAGACGACGAGGGCGAGCCGUCGCUCCGGCCGCACGCCCCCGUCGCCGUCACCGCCCUCCGCGCCGCCGACCUCGAGGAGUUCGUCAAAGGCACAUCAUUCGAUCUGUCUGACAAGGAACUCUUCUGCAUCGAGGAACAGGAUGUGUUUAAUAGCAUAUACUCUCUUGUGCGUGACUUCACUUGCUUGCCCCCAGGGCUUAAGUUCAAUCUUGUUGAGGCCUUGCGCUCCAACCUCAGUGUUCUUCUGCCCAACAUUGACUCCCUUUCACGAGCUUCCAUGUCAUCCCCCUCUGAUGGGAUCCCUAUCACUGACCGCAUCGCGUCUCACCGCAAUGCCCUCAAGAUCUACUCCUUUUUCCUCCUCUCCAUUGUCCUCGCUCAGGAAUCUUCAGCUGAUAGUGGCACUGGGGCAAAGGUGACAGCACAUGGUCGGAAGAAGAAUCCCGUUUAUGCUUGGAAUUGGGAAGCGCAAAGAGGGCGGAUCAUGAAUCUGGUCGCUAAUUCUCUUGAAGUUGACCUUACACUACUUUUUGGUCCAGGCGGCGCUGAUGAGCGAUACCUAUCUUUUGCUUCAAAGUGUACUUAUGUUCUCUUUGAGAAUCAAAAUGUGUUAAAAGAUGAGGAAACGAGAAAUGGUCUAUGCCGGAUAAUUGGUGCAAUAGCUACAAGGCAUCAAAAGAUUUCUCAAACCAGUGCAUCUGUCUUGCAUUUGAUCCAUAAAUAUGAUUUCACUGUCGCUCAUCUUGCUGAAGCAGUUGCUGCUGCAGAGAAAAAGUUUGGUGAUGGAAGCUUGGCAAUUUCCCUGAUCAGGGAAAUAGGUCGCACUGACCCGAAAGACUAUGUGAGAGAUGGUGCUGGUGCUGACAAUGUUGGGAGAUUCUUAGUAGAACUUGCAGAUCGUUUGCCAAAACUUAUGUCUACCAAUCUUGGUGUUCUAAUACCACAUUUUGGCGGGGAAUCAUACAAGAUUAGGAAUUCUCUUGUUGGAGUCUUGGGCAAGUUGGCUGCAAAGGCUUUCAAAGACGUUGAUGGAAAUAACAGUGCUCAUUCCAUAAGGCUCCGAAGUAAGCAGGCUAUGCUAGAAAUUUUGAUCGAGCGUUGUAGGGACGUGUCAGCAUACACAAGGAGUCGUGUCCUUCAGGUCUGGGCAGAGUUGUGUGAAGAAAAUGCUAUUUCAAUUGGCCUGUGGAAUGAAGUGGCAUCAGUUGCCUCAGGGAGGUUGGAGGAUAAAAGUGCAAUCGUCAGGAAAUCAGCACUACAACUUCUCAUCACAAUGCUGCAACACAACCCUUUUGGGCCUCAACUAAGGGCCACGACCUUUGAGGCAACUUUAGAGAAGUACAAGGAGAAAUUGGAAGAAAAGGAAUCUCAGUCUCCCGCGGAAGGUGAACUUGUGAAUGACCAUCCAUUGGGUGAAGUGACCGUGGGGCAAGACGAGAGUGUCAGUGAUAGUUGCCUACCUUCUAGUCAAGACCAGACAGAUGAAGAUCAUAUGUUUGUAGAUAUAACAAACUUAGAACAGAUCAGAGCUUUGGUUGCAUCCCUUGAGGCUGGUCUGCGAUUCACGACAUGUAUAACGUCGUUAAUGCCAAUUCUUAUCCAGUUAUUGGCUUCAUCUUCAGCCACAGAUGUUGAGAACACUAUUCUUCUGCUAAUGAGAUGCAGACAGUUUCAGGUUGAAGGUUCAGAAGCAGCACUCCGGAAAAUGUUACCUUUGGUAUUUUCUCAGGACAAGUCAAUAUAUGAAGCAGUGGAGAGCGCAUUCAUUGCCAUAUACACAAAAAGGAUCCCAACAGAAACAGCCAAAAGUUUGAUAAACCUCAACAUCGAUUGUAGCAUUGGUGACCUUGCUGCCCUGGAGAGCUUAGUUAGUUCAUUGGUACUGAAAGGAGAGAUUUCAUCCAACACGAUGUCAGCUUUGUGGGAUUAUUUUUGCUUCAACAUCAACGGUGUAAGGCCAGUGCAAUGCCGUGGAGCUUUAUCAAUUCUUUGCAUGGCAGCAAAGUCAUCUCCUAGCAUUCUGGGUACUCACUUGCAAGAUAUUGUUGACAUUGGGUUUGGGCGCUUGGCUAAGGAAGAGCCUCUACUUGCUAGAACUGCAUGCCUUGCCCUGCAAAGACUAUCAGAAGAAGACAAGAUCAAAUUACUAAGUACUAGUACCAGAGUAUUUGCUGCACUGCAAAGCUUGGUAACUAGCUUCUCGCUUCCGGAGAAAAUAUGGUAUGGAGCAACAGAUAAAGCUAUAAGUGCCAUAUAUACCUUACACCCUGCACCUGAAAUCUUUGCUGCUGAGAUUGCAAAGAAAUCCCUCAGUUCUGUAUUCAGUGCCUUAGGAAUGGAUGGUGUGUCUAAUGGAGUGGAACUUGAAACUCAGAAUAGUUCCACAAUUACGGAGUUAUCAGCCAUGAAGUUGGGUAGAUUUCUUUUUGUCAUUAGUCAUAUAGCACUCAACCAUUUGGUUUACAUUGAGACUUCCGUUAAGAAAAUCCACAAACAGAAACAGAAAAAUGAAAAAUCACAGUCCACCAAUGAGGAUAGUCAGGUAGAUGGUUCUAAGAAUUCGGAGGCACAAGACAUAAAUGCUGAACUGGGACUUGGUGCAACGAGAGAUAUUGCAAUCGAGUUCUUUGCUGAAAAAGCUGAAAGGGAGAUUGUUUCCUAUUCUUGUGAAAAGAACCUUCUUGGACAUUGCGGACCAUUUCUAUCAAAACUCUGCAGGAAUCUGACUUUGCUGCAAAAGUUCCCGGAGUUACAUGCUUCUGCAAUGCUUGCUCUUUGCAGACUGAUGAUUAUUGAUGCAGAAUUCUGCGAGGCAAAUCUCCAGAUCCUAUUUACUGUUGUGGAAAACGCAUCCUCUGAAAUCGUCCGAUCUAACUGCACUAUAGCCCUUGGUGAUUUAGCAGUUCGCUUUCCAAACCUCUUAGAACCUUGGACAGAACACAUAUAUGCCCGAUUGAGCGAUUCGUCGGCAUCUGUGAGGAAGAAUGCUGUGCUGGUCAUUUCUCAUCUCAUAUUGAAUGACAUGAUGAAGGUUAAAGGUUAUAUCAACGAAAUGGCGGUGAGGGUAGAAGAUGAAGAUGAGAGGAUCUCAAGCCUUGCAAAACUCUUCUUUCAUGAGUUGUCAAAGAAAGGAAGCAAUCCAAUUUAUAAUCUUCUUCCAGAUAUUCUGAGUAGACUGUGCAAUCAACACCUCAAGGAAGAAACGUUUCGCAACAUCAUGCAAUUCUUAAUUGGUUCUAUUAAAAAGGACAAACAAAUGGAAGCUCUUGUCGAUAAGCUUUGCAAUAGGUUUGCUGGUGUAAAUGAUGUUAGGCAGUGGGAGUAUAUCUCUUACUGCCUCUCUCAGCUAACCUUCACUGAGAAAGGUCUGAAGAAACUCAUCGAUAAUUUCAAGAUGUUUGAGCAUGCAUUAUGUGAAGAUUCUGUGCUGAACCACUUCAGAAGCGUGAUAGCAAAGUGUAAGAAGUUUGCGAAGCCAGAUCUCAAAGCUUGCAUUGAGGAAUUUGAGGAGAAAGUUAGCAAAGUUCACGAGGAAAAGAAAGAACAAGAAGCCACGGCAAGAAAUGCGGAGGCACAUAAGCAGAAAAUUGAUUCUCUUGAUAAAAUCCUACUCGCUAAGGAAGCUGGGCAGAAUGACAGAAACUCUGCUGACGAGGAAACCAGUGAGGUCAUUGAUCCUUCAGUGGAAGGCAAUGCUGAAGACAAGGAGACAGAGGAAACUAGUGAGGUUACUGAUCCGUCAGUGGAUAGCAAUGCUGAAAAUAAGGGGGCAGAGGAAGGUACUGGGGACAUUGACCCUUCAGUGGAUAGCAAUGCUGAAAAUAAGGAGACAGAGGAAGCUACUGAGGUUACUGAUCCUUCAGUGGGUAGCAAUGCUGAAAAUGAGGAGACAGAGGAAGGUACCAAGGUUACUGGUCCGUCAGUGGAUAGCAGUGCUGAAAAUGAGGAGACAGAUGAAGCUACUGAGGAUAUUGAUCCUUCCGCGGAUAGCGCUGCUGAAAAUAAGGAGAACAGGACAAAAGGCAGCGGCAACAUUUGUUCCGGAAAAAGUCAGACAUCAUCCACGGUUACAGAAUCAGAAGAUGAUAGCACAGAGGUUCAAUCAUCCAAAACUGUUCGCAGUCGCAAAGGUUCGACACGAUCGACUGUAAAGAAGAUCAGAGAACCUAUCUUGGAAGACUCUGCAGACGUUGCUCCUCCAGUCAGGCGUUCCACCCGCUCGAGUAGAAGACAAUGA
rnacentral:rRNA from 1 species